AUGGUGGAGCUGGCUUCACAACACGCCCAGGACACAGAGGUGGCUCAGGAGCCAUUUCGCGGGGCACAGGGGACUCCAGGGGAAGUGCUCUGCAGAGGAGCCACAUCUUCAAGGGGUCUAUGGAAGAGAGGCAGGGGAGGGCUGGCUCCCUUCUAUCCCCUCCCUCCUAUUGGAAGAUUUCACCCACCAGGGAGCUUAUUUCUCCAGUUUUCCCGUGUGUUGGUGGCUACUCAAGAAGUCAGAUUCCAGGCCCUGUGUUGUGGUGUUUUGUCUAAGUCUAAAAGCUGGAGUGUGGUGGCACAAUCAUGGCUCACUGUAGCUUUGAACUCCUGGACUCAAGCGAUCCUCCUCCCUUGGCCUCCUGAGUAGCUGGAACUUCAGAGUCAUCCCUAAAUCCAAUGACUUGGAUCCUUACAAGACAAGGAGAAGACACAGAGGUACGCAGAGGCAAGAAGGAGCUGUGAAGAUGGAAGCAGAGAUUGGAGUUAUGCUGACACACAUCGAGGGACACCCAGGGCCAUUAGAAGCUGGAAUAUUCAGGCAAAUAACCUACUCUAGAGAAUUCAAAGGGAGCAGGGUCCACCAACAGUUUGAUUUUGUACUCUGGCCUCUAGAACUCUGAGAGAAUAAAUCUCUUUUGUUGUAAGCCACCCAGUUUAUAGUACUCUGUGAUGGCAGCCCCGGCAAACUGAUAUAGACAGGAAAAUACAACCUGUCUGCACUUCAUGGAAAGGGGAGAAGUGAGGAACACUCCUGCCCUCCUUCACUCUGUGUAGGUCUCCUCUGCUUUAACGUCCUGCAUAGAACUCAGCACAAUCAUAAUCAAACACGAAUUCUUUUUCCUUUUGCUUGUUUUUUGUCUCUCCUCCUGCUAGAAUGUAAGCUCCUUGAGGGCAGGGACUUUCUGUCCUGCUCACUGCUGCAUUCUGCUGCCUGGAAUGAUGCCUGGCAUAUAUAUAUAGUAGAUGAUCAGUAAAUAUUUUUUGAAUUUAUGAAUAAAUGAAAGAAUGAAAUAGGCAGGAGUUCUGGGGAUUGUCUCAAAUAACUUUUCUUAGAAGGGACAAAACUGAGAGGAAAGAUGAGGGUAUUCCAGCAAGAGGAACCAAUAAAACUGUGCAAAGGCCAAGAGUCACAAAGAGGAAAGCUCUUGGAACGAUGGCAGAUGGAGGCAUUGGCUGCCUGGGGUGGAAAGGAAGAAUGUGAAUCUGGAAUGAUGCAUUUGGGCCUGAGUGUGAGAGGCCUUGUGUAUUGGUAAAGAAUUGGGUGGGCGCAGUGGCUCAUGCCUGUAAUCCCAGCACUUUAGGAGGCCGAGGCGGGUGGAUCACGAGGUCAAGAGAUGAGACCAUCCUGGCCAACAUGGUGAAAUGCCGCCUCUACUAAAAAUACACAAAUUAGCUGGGCGUGGUGGCACGUACCUGUAGUCCUAGCUACUUGGGAAGUUGAGGCAGGAGAAUUGCUUGAACCUGGGAGGCAGAAGUUGCAGUGAGCCGAGAUGGCGCCACUGCACUCCAGCCUGGUGGCAGAACAAGACUCCGUCUCAAAAAAAAAAAAAAAAAAGAAAAAAAAAAAAGAAAAAAAAAAGAAUUUGGUUGGAUCCUGAGGUAGUGGAAAGCCAAUGGGUUUAUUUAAAGCAAAAGAAUUUUACAAAAUAUUAAAGGAAUUGCUUUGGAAACAGUGGCAGUGAUUGACUCAAGAAGUGAGAGGUGCGUCUGAAAGUGCAAGUGAGAGAAGGGCCUGAGGGAAAGCUGCUUCCCUCUGAAAUACUGGACAGCAUUGGUGAAGAAUUGAGUAGGGUUAGAGAGAGUAGAAAGCCGCAGGCACAGCUCAGUAUGGAUCUCUGGUCUCUUACAUGAUGCUGAGCCCCUGGUGCUGGAAAAUAUAAGAAAUUGAGCAAGUUGGAGGUGGAAAACCUAAGUCUGGGGAUCCCACAGAACAUUCUAAUGGAGAUGCCCAAUAUUGGUUGGAUAGAAAGGUCUGCUGUUCAGGAGAGAGGUAAAAGCCAAGGACACAUCACUGGGAGACAUCAGUGAACAUGAAGGCAGGAGGGUGGAUGAGGCCACCCAGGUUGAACAUAGAUAGAAAGAGGUCCACGGACAGAACUCUUGGGAAGAGGAAGUGAAAGUGAAGCCUUCAGUUAUGAGCACGCUGCAUUCCGCUGCAUAAUAAAAAGCACGUUUAAAAUGCUUAUGAUUCUUUAGAGAAGUGCUGUCUUUUGGUUUUAAGUGUUAAUAUUUAUAAUGACUCUAUUCUAUUAGUCUCUUAAAAAGUUAAUGCAGGCCAGGUGCAGUGGCUCACGCCUGUCAUCCCAGCGCUUUGGGAGGCCGAGGAGGGUGGAUCACCUGAGGUCAGGAGUUCAAUACCAGCAUGGCCAUCAUGGAGAAAACUCAUCUGUACUAAAAAUAUAAAAAAUUAGCCAGGUGUGGUGGUGGUCACCUGUAAUCCCAGCUAUUUGGGAGGAUGAGGGAGGAGAAUCGCUUGAACCUGGGAGGCGGAAGUUACACUAAGCCAAGAUCGCGCCACUGCACUCCAGCCAGGGAAACAAGAGCAAAACUCAGUCUCAAAAGAAAAACAAAAAGAAAAAAAAAAGCUUAUGCAAAGUGCAAAAUAAACUAAUAUGACUAAUUGUGGACAAUAUAGAGUGAAAAAUAGGUCAUGAGAACGAGGAGAAACAUUAGCCUUAAUCAUCUGAACUCAACACAGGAAACAUGAGUAGCAGGCACUAAAUUGGACCUAGAAAACAAACAGGGUUUCCUGUUAAUGGAAGAGAGUCACAAAAAGAACUUCUCAAUGUUUGAAAAAUAUCCUUUCUCCUGGAUGACAGCCAGGGUAUGGUCCCAGGGCUGUUCAGUUCUUUCCUGAUAGGAAAAAAAGUAUUCUUUCCUCUUUCUGCAAAUCUACCCGGGUCCCUUUGUGGUUCCACAAUCAUUUGUCACUUGUUAAUAAGCUCUUUUUAAACGUUUCAUCUGGAGGAAGCAAGUGAGUUAGUCCUCUUGCUGUCUGAUGUAGGGAUUCGCGAUUCCAUCGUAGAAUUCUUCCAAGAGAAGGAUUUCACA
ensembl:lncRNA